rnacentral:rRNA from 1 species
UACGUAGGGUGCAAGCGUUGUCCGGAAUUACUGGGCGUAAAGAGUUCGUAGGCGGUUUGUCGCGUCGUUUGUGAAAACUCACAGCUCAACUGUGAGCCUGCAGGCGAUACGGGCAGACUUGAGUACUGCAGGGGAGACUGGAAUUCCUGGUGUAGCGGUGAAAUGCGCAGAUAUCAGGAGGAACACCGAUGGCGAAGGCAGGUCUCUGGGCAUUAACUGACGCUGAGGAGCGAAAGCAUGGGGAGCGAACAGG